rnacentral:rRNA from 1 species
GACGAACGCUGGCGGCGUGCCUAGUACAUGCAAGUAGAACGCACAGUUUAUACCGUAGCUUGCUACACCAUAGACUGUGAGUUGCGAACGGGUGAGUAACGCGUAGGUAACCUGCCUGGUAGCGGGGGAUAACUAUUGGAAACGAUAGCUAAUACCGCAUAAUAUUGAUUAUUGCAUGAUAAUUGAUUGAAAGAUGCUAUUGCAUCACUACCAGAUGGACCUGCGUUGUAUUAGCUAGUAGGUGAGGUAACGGCUCACCUAGGCGACGAUACAUAGCCGACCUGAGAGGGUGAUCGGCCACACUGGGACUGAGACACGGCCCAGACUCCUACGGGAGGCAGCAGUAGGGAAUCUUCGGCAAUGGACGAAAGUCUGACCGAGCAACGCCGCGUGAGUGAAGAAGGUUUUCGGAUCGUAAAGCUCUGUUGUAAGAGAAGAACGGGUGUGAGAGUGGAAAGUUCACACUGUGACGGUAUCUUACCAGAAAGGGACGGCUAACUACGUG